UACGAAGGGGGCUAGCGUUGCUCGGAAUCACUGGGCGUAAAGGGUGCGUAGGCGGGUCUUUAAGUCAGGGGUGAAAUCCUGGAGCUCAACUCCAGAACUGCCUUUGAUACUGAAGAUCUUGAGUCCGGGAGAGGUGAGUGGAACUGCGAGUGUAGAGGUGAAAUUCGUAGAUAUUCGCAAGAACACCAGUGGCGAAGGCGGCUCACUGGCCCGAUACUGACGCUGAGGAGCGAAAGCGUGGGGAGCGAACAGG
rnacentral:rRNA from 1 species